rnacentral:rRNA from 1 species
ACUGCUCAGUAACACGUGGAUAACCUGCCCUUGGGUCCGGCAUAACCCCGGGAAACUGGGGAUAAUUCCGGAUAACGCACAUAUGCUGGAAUGCUUUAUGCGUAAAAUGGAUUCGUCUGCCCAAGGAUGGGUCUGCGGCCUAUCAGGUAGUAGUGGGUGUAAUGUACCUACUAGCCUACGACGGGUACGGGUUGUGAGAGCAAGAGCCCGGAGAUGGAUUCUGAGACAUGAAUCCAGGCCCUACGGGGCGCAGCAGGCGCGAAAACUUUACAAUGCGGGAAACCGUGAUAAGGGGACACCGAGUGCCAGCAUCAUAUGCUGGCUGUCCAGGUGUGUAAAAUACACCUGUUAGCAAGGGCCGGGCAAGACCGGUGCCAGCCGCCGCGGUAACACCGGCGGCCCGAGUGGUGAUCGUGAUUAUUGGGUCUAAAGGGUCCGUAGCCGGUUUGGUCAGUCCUCCGGGAAAUCUGACGGCUUAACCGUUAGGCUUUCGGGGGAUACUGCCAGGCUUGGAACCGGGAGAGGUAAGAGGUACUACAGGGGUAGGAGUGAAAUCUUGUAAUCCCUGUGGGACCACCUGUGGCGAAGGCGUCUUACCAGAACGGGUUCGACGGUGAGGGACGAAAGCUGGGGGCACGAACCGGAUUAGAUACCCGGGUAGUCCCAGCCGUAAACGAUGCUCGCUAGGUGUCAGGCAUGGCGCGACCGUGUCUGGUGCCGCAGGGAAGCCGUGAAGCGAGCCACCUGGGAAGUACGGCCGCAAGGCUGAAACUUAAAGGAAUUGGCGGGGGAG